CGUUGUGGUUAAUAACCACGGCGAUUGACGUUACUCGCAGAAGAAGCACCGGCUAACUCCGUGCCAGCAGCCGCGGUAAUACGGAGGGUGCAAGCGUUAAUCGGAAUUACUGGGCGUAAAGCGCACGCAGGCGGUUUGUUAAGUGAGAUGUGAAAUCCCCGGGCUCAACCUGGGAACUGCAUUUGAAACUGGCGAGCUUGAGGCGGCGUAGAGGGGGGUAGAAUUCCAGGGUAGCGGUGAAAUGCGUAGAGAUCUGGAGGAAUACCGGUGGCGAAGGCGGCCCCCUGGAG
rnacentral:rRNA from 1 species